AGAACGAACGCUGGCGGCAUGCCUAAUACAUGCAAGUCGAACGAAGGCUUCGGCCUUAGUGGCGCACGGGUGCGUAACGCGUGGGAAUCUGCCCCUUGGUUCGGAAUAACAGUUGGAAACGACUGCUAAUACCGGAUGAUGACGAAAGUCCAAAGAUUUAUCGCCAAGGGAUGAGCCCGCGUAGGAUUAGCUAGUUGGUGAGGUAAAGGCUCACCAAGGCGACGAUCCUUAGCUGGUCUGAGAGGAUGAUCAGCCACACUGGGACUGAGACACGGCCCAGACUCCUACGGGAGGCAGCAGUAGGGAAUAUUGGACAAUGGGCGAAAGCCUGAUCCAGCAAUGCCGCGUGAGUGAUGAAGGCCUUAGGUUGUAAAGCUCUUUUACCCGAGAUGAUAAUGACAGUAUCGGAGAAUAAGCCCCGGCUAACUCCGUGCCAGCAGCCGC
rnacentral:rRNA from 1 species